UACGUAGGGGGCAAGCGUUGUCCGGAAUCAUUGGGCGUAAAGCGCGUGUAGGCGGCCCGAUAAGUCCGCUGUGAAAGUCCAGGGCUCAACCCUGGGAUGCCGGUGGAUACUGUCGGGCUCGAGUCCGGAAGAGGCGAGUGGAAUUCCUGGUGUAGCGGUGAAAUGCGCAGAUAUCAGGAGGAACACCGGUGGCGAAGGCGGCGACCUGGGUCGGUACUGACGCUGAGACGCGAAAGCGUGGGGAGCGAACAGG
rnacentral:rRNA from 1 species